rnacentral:rRNA from 1 species
GAUGAACGCUGGCGGCGUGCCUAAUACAUGCAAGUAGAACGCUGAAGGAGGAGCUUGCUCUUCUGGAUGAGUUGCGAACGGGUGAGUAACGCGUAGGUAACCUGCCUGGUAGCGGGGGAUAACUAUUGGAAACGAUAGCUAAUACCGCAUGACAACAGUUAUUGCAUGAUAACUGUUUAAAAGGGGCAACUGCUCCACUACCAGAUGGACCUGCGUUGUAUUAGCUAGUUGGUGAGGUAACGGCUCACCAAGGCGACGAUACAUAGCCGACCUGAGAGGGGGAUCGGCCACACUGGGACUGAGACCCGGCACAGACUCCUACGGGAGGCAGCCGUAGGGAAACUUCGGCAAUGGGCGGAAGUCUGACCGAGCAACGCCGGGUGAGUGAAGAAGGUUUUCGGAUCGUAAAGGUCUGUUGUAAGAGAAGAACGAGUGUGAGAGUGGAAAGUUCACACUGUGACGGUAUCUGACCAGAAAGGGACGGCUAACUACGUG